AUUGAACGCUGGCGGCAUGCCUUACACAUGCAAGUCGAACGGUAACAGGUUAAGCUGCCGAGUGGCGAACGGGUGAGUAAUGUAUCGGAACGUGCCCAGUCGUGGGGGAUAACUGCUCGAAAGAGCAGCUAAUACCGCAUACGACCUGAGGGUGAAAGCGGGAGAUCGCAAGACCUCGCGCGAUUGGAGCGGCCGAUAUCAGAUUAGGUAGUUGGUGAGGUAAAGGCUCACCAAGCCGACGAUCUGUAGCUGGUCUGAGAGGACGACCAGCCACACUGGGACUGAGACACGGCCCAGACUCCUACGGGAGGCAGCAGUGGGGAAUUUUGGACAAUGGGCGCAAGCCUGAUCCAGCCAUGCCGCGUGCGGGAAGAAGGCCUUCGGGUUGUAAACCGCUUUUGUCAGGGAAGAGAAGGUUCUGGCUAAUACCUGGGACUCAUGACGGUACCUGAAGAAUAAGCACCGGCUAACUACGUG
rnacentral:rRNA from 1 species